ACGGCUCACCCUUCACUCUCUUUCUCUCGACGCUUCCAUCCAUCACCGGAACCCUUCCAUCCAUUGCAACGCUUCCAUUGAUCGUACCAUAUCGUCGGAAUCAAGCUCUUAUGAACGAAGGUCUCCGGAAAACUCUGUUACCGGCGCACAAUCAAAAUCUAGGUGAUUAAAAAAAAUUAUCGAGGUUAAUUUUCCCAAUCUCUCAAGGUUACUGAUUUCUAUCAAGCUAUCCAGUGAGUUGAAGAAUAUGUAGGCGGCUAGUGUGUGGGCAUUUGUGGACAAAGCGAGGAACAUGUAUUGAUGGGUCAUCACAUGGUUGGUUCUGUCUGCUGAAGGAAUCACUAACUCACUGGUUUCUUGAAUGCCAUUUUGAACUUAGUUGAGAAGGAUAAAGAUACAGGAGCUCUGAAUAGUGCUGAUCUUUUGCUUAAUUUUCUUCAUCGUUCUUCUUUGAAGUAGAUACUUGCAUUCUAAAUUUAGAUAACAUGUGUGUGCAUCAAGUCUGGGAACAACCGUGGCUGGUGAUGGUGAUGCUUGUUUACAUUGUGAAGAUGGGAGAUGUAGUGCAUGUUAAGCAACUAGAUCUCAAUAUUGUACGAGGCUGCGUAGUGGAAGCACUUUGCAGGAUCUCUACAAGGAAGAGUUUUAUGAUGAUGAUGACAAUAGUGAUUGGGAACCAGUACAUCAUUUUGUUUUGAAGAAGUGGUUUUGUACAAACUGUACAUUGCCGAACUUUGAUGAUGUCUCUCACUGCGAUAAUCAGCUUCAGACACAUCUACAGCUGUUGGUUUUGAUGAAAGGAUGCUGCUCCACUACGAGGUUAGACUGCAUUUCUCAUAACUUGAGAUUGAUACAUGAUUUAUUUUUCUCAAUGUUGCAUUUCGAUGAGUAUUUUUGUAAGACUGAAAUUUUGUUGUCAUAAGUCAGAAGUUUAUGUGAGUUACAUUGAUAUUUAUAUCUAUUUGAAAAUAGAGUGUAGCUUAAAUUAUAUGGGUUCCUACUUUUUUUAGGAUGUAGACCUUU